rnacentral:rRNA from 1 species
UCAUCUCCGGGGGUAGAGCACUGUUUCGGCAAGGGGGUCAUCCCGACUUACCAACCCGAUGCAAACUGCGAAUACCGGAGAAUGUUAUCACGGGAGACACACGGCGGGUGCUAACGUCCGUCGUGAAGAGGGAAACAACCCAGACCGCCAGCUAAGGUCCCAAAGUCAUGGUUAAGUGGGAAACGAUGUGGGAAGGCCCAGACAGCCAGGAUGUUGGCUUAGAAGCAGCCAUCAUUUAAAGAAAGCGUAAUAGCUCACUGGUCGAGUCGGCCUGCGCGGAAGAUGUAACGGGGCUAAACCAUGCACCGAAGCUGCGGCAGCGACGCUUAUGCGUUGUUGGGUAGGGGAGCGUUCUGUAAGCCUGUGAAGGUGUACUGUGAGGUAUGCUGGAGGUAUCAGAAGUGCGAAUGCUGACAUAAGUAACGAUAAAGCGGGUGAAAAGCCCGCUCGCCGGAAGACCAAGGGUUCCUGUCCAACGUUAAUCGGGGCAGGGUGAGUCGACCCCUAAGGCGAGGCCGAAAGGCGUAGUCGAUGGGAAACAGGUUAAUAUUCCUGUACUUGGUGUUACUGCGAAGGGGGGACGGAGAAGGCUAUGUUGGCCGGGCGACGGUUGUCCCGGUUUAAGCGUGUAGGCUGGUUUUCCAGGCAAAUCCGGAAAAUCAAGGCUGAGGCGUGAUGACGAGGCACUACGGUGCUGAAGCAACAAAUGCCCUGCUUCCAGGAAAAGCCUCUAAGCAUCAGGUAACAUCAAAUCGUACCCCAAACCGACACAGGUGGUCAGGUAGAGAAUACCAAGGCGCUUGAGAGAACUCGGGUGAAGGAACUAGGCAAAAUGGUGCCGUAACUUCGGGAGAAGGCACGCUGAUAUGUAGGUGAAGCGACUUGCUCGUGGAGCUGAAAUCAGUCGAAGAUACCAGCUGGCUGCAACUGUUUAUUAAAAACACAGCACUGUGCAAACACGAAAGUGGACGUAUACGGUGUGACGCCUGCCCGGUGCCGGAAGGUUAAUUGAUGGGGUCAGCGCAAGCGAAGCUCUUGAUCGAAGCCCCGGUAAACGGCGGCCGUAACUAUAACGGUCCUAAGGUAGCGAAAUUCCUUGUCGGGUAAGUUCCGACCUGCACGAAUGGCGUAAUGAUGGCCAGGCUGUCUCCACCCGAGACUCAGUGAAAUUGAACUCGCUGUGAAGAUGCAGUGUACCCGCGGCAAGACGGAAAGACCCCGUGAACCUUUACUAUAGCUUGACACUGAACAUUGAGCCUUGAUGUGUAGGAUAGGUGGG